GACGAACGCUGGCGGCGUGCUUAACACAUGCAAGUCGAACGGAAAGGCCCUGCUUUUGUGGGGUGCUCGAGUGGCGAACGGGUGAGUAACACGUGAGUAACCUGCCCUUGACUUUGGGAUAACUUCAGGAAACUGGGGCUAAUACCGGAUAGGAGCUCCUGCUGCAUGAUGGGGGUUGGAAAGUUUCGGCGGUUGGGGAUGGACUCGCGGCUUAUCAGCUUGUUGGUGGGGUAGUGGCUUACCAAGGCUUUGACGGGUAGCCGGCCUGAGAGGGUGACCGGCCACAUUAGGACUGAGAUACGGCCCAGACUCCUACGGGAGGCAGCAGUGGGGAAUUUUGCACAAUGGGCGGAAGCCUGAUGCAGCAACGCCGCGUGCGGGAUGACGGCCUUCGGGUUGUAAACCGCUUUCGCCUGUGACGAAGCGUGAGUGACGGUAAUGGGUAAAGAAGCACCGGCUAACUACGUG
rnacentral:rRNA from 1 species